ACCAGCUCAAGCAAUCAGGCUUUCUUUGUAUUAGCUGAAAAACAAGGAAAUCGCACAUCCACGCCUAACUGCCUCACACCUGUGCUUGCAAAAGUGGCAGAAGCACUGAGCAUCUUGUGACUAAUCUGGAAAAUUGUCUACUUCAAGCAAAGUGACUUUCAGUGUUUCAGUCAAUGCCACCACCAUAUCCAGAGGCAACCACUGUUCUGAAAUUCUUCCAUCAUAGUUUAGUUUAUUCUGCUCUAGAGGGUAUAUAAAUGGAAUCACAAGGUCUCAGCAAGUAAUGGAUUCUGAUCUGCAAACACAACCCAGCAUGCCAGCAUUUGCAGAUGUACCCAUGAGCCAACCAAAUAGCAAGUCUCCUUUGCAAGCAAAAGGUCAACUUCUCAUUGUGAAGUCUCCAGUUACAGACUCACAUUCAUUCUCAAAUCACCCUAACACACAGAAAACAGACAUAUUUACUUUUCUCAUGAUUCAUGGGAGAAUUUUGCUCUGAAACAAAGUCAACAGCCAAAUCUCUCCUCAGCAAGCUGAAAAGCACAUCCCAUACUGGUCUCUGGGUGAAAGACCCUCUAGUAAACUUGGUGAGAGUGACAAGAAAAAAAGGGAUUUUUUAGAUUAGAAGAAAAUGUUCCUAUUUCACUACAGUGUCCUUUGGACCUAAAUACUCUUCAUUCUGAGUCACAUUUCCUAUGAGAUGUUACCAAGG
rnacentral:lncRNA from 1 species